AAGUCUAUCUCUAUAAUCUAGUGGUCUAGUGGUGAUGACCCCAAGCUAAUGGUUAAUGUCUCCAACUGCAAGCUGAACCCGUUCCUUUGCCUCUCAGAUGCCGCCGUCCUUUCUUAGCCCCAGGAAAUGGGAAUAGUAGUAAUUCUCACUUGAUGGCACUGCUGUGAGCAUCGUGUGGAUAAAGGACACAUAUCACUCCAUGCAGUGUUCGUCAUGAAAACUCUCCCAGGGAUAAUGGAUUGGAUCUGUGUUUACUUUUCUGUAGACUGGCAUGAUGCUAACUAACAAGUUCCUGUCUCCAGGUUACAGUAAGCAG